rnacentral:misc_RNA from 1 species
CCAAUAGCGUAUAUUAAAGUUGUUGCAGUUAAAAAGCUCGUAGUUGAAUUUCGGGAUCAAUUUGUCGGUCGUGCCUCGGUACGUACUGGCAUUAUUGGUUUCUCCCUUCUGACGAACCACGAUGUCAUUAAUUUGGUGUCGCGGGAAAUCAGGACUGUUACUUUGAAAAAAUUAGAGUGUUUAAAGCAAGCUCACGCUUGAAUACAUUAGCAUGGAAUAAUGAAAUAGGACGUUUGAUUCUAUUUUGUUGGUUUCUAGGAUCGACGUAAUGAUUAAUAGGGAUAGUUGGGGGCAUUAGUAUUCAAUUGUCAGAGGUGAAAUUCUUGGAUUUAUGGAAGACUAACUACUGCGAAAGCAUUUGCCAAGGAUGUUUUCAUUAAUCAAGAACGAAAGUUAGGGGAUCGAAGACGAUCAGAUACCGUCGUAGUCUUAACCAUAAACUAUGCCGACUAGGGAUCGGAUGAUGUUAAUUUUUUAAUGACUCAUUCGGCGCCUUACG